CCCCUUUCUACUGACUGCUAAUGGUUUAUACAAUUGGAAUUUCUUUUUGCAAACAGUGAUUGUGACUCUGUGAGUGCUAGUUAUUGCAACAAUAUGAGGUCGCAGAUAGAUAAGUUUGUAAUUGCUGUUUUCUUUUGGAGAUACUUCCUUUUCAGAAUUUUGUUUUAAUAGCGUGUUUUCCUUGCGAGUGCCUUGUUCAUGUGGAGGUUUAUUGAAAAUGGCCAUUUAGUAAUACACUCUAGUAAUUG
rnacentral:misc_RNA from 1 species